rnacentral:tRNA from 1 species
CUUUCUUUAGCUUAAUUUAAAGCAGCGGUCUUGUAAAUCGCAGGUGAGGGUUUAGUUCCCUCAGGAUGGU